rnacentral:rRNA from 1 species
UACGUAGGGGGCAAGCGUUGUCCGGAAUCAUUGGGCGUAAAGCGCGUGUAGGCGGUCCGGUAAGUCCGCUGUGAAAGUCGGGGGCUCAACCCUCGAAUGCCGGUGGAUACUGUCGGGCUAGAGUGCGGAAGAGGCGAGUGGAAUUCCUGGUGUAGCGGUGAAAUGUGUAGAGAUCGGGAGGAACACCGGUGGCGAAGGCGGGUCUCUGGGCAACUCCUGACGCUGAGGCGCGAAAGCGUGGGGAGCAAACGGG